rnacentral:rRNA from 1 species
UACGUAGGUGACUAGCGUUGUCCGGAUUUACUGGGCGUAAAGAGCGCGCAGGCGGUCGUUCAAGUCGAGUGUGAAAGCCCCCGGCUCAACUGGGGAGGGUCAUUCGAUACUGAUCGACUCGAAGGCAGGAGAGGGAAGCGGAAUUCCCGGUGUAGUGGUGAAAUGCGUAGAUAUCGGGAGGAACACCAGUGGCGAAGGCGGCUUCCUGGCCUGUUCUUGACGCUGAGGCGCGAAAGCUAGGGGAGCGAACAGG